rnacentral:lncRNA from 1 species
ACAACAACAACAACAACAAAAACCCUUAUUUUGCUUUUUCACCAUUAUAUUCUAGUGUAUAUUUUUGCGCUGUUUUUAAAUUGCUGACGGUACAAUGUUCAAAAUCGUUUUUAUGCUGUUGUUUCAUAGCUACAGGUGCCAAGAGGCAGAGACAAGGAUACGAAAUUUUAUAGGGCUACGAUCUUAGGCUGAUAUCACAAAAAACCAAAAGAAGAAUAAACAGAAAAACAAAGGGCUCUAAACGGUUACGAUUCAAGAGUUCUAGCAUGAUUUGGGGCUAUUCUGAGGCUUGAAUUCUUUGCUGGGGGUGGGGGCGGGCAGCAGGGUUCUCGAAGAACCACGCAGAGGGGGGCGGGGCUUACCUCGAGCAUUAGAUAAUCUAGAACCAGAGCUUCUGUUCAGUAAUUUAAGGCUCCCCUCUGAGGUGCCAGAGCUCCUCUACGGAGCCGGGAGGUCUUCUAAGAACAGAAAGACCACAGCGUUAGAAGCUACAGAAGGCUAAAUGCGUAAAGAACCAUAAAGGACCUCCAGAGCGCACGAUACCCUGGGAUGCAGGGAAGCCCACUGAUAAGGACACUGGCAAUUUCCACGGGCGUGUUCCUCAGAUUGGAUUAUCCAGGGACCAUUCCACUGAAACUGCAACCAAAGCUGCCUGUGGCCUCACUUUCCUGCCCAAGUGUGACUGCAGUCUGGUAAGAGACCUAAAUGUGCAGAAGGGAAACGGGCAUUCCUGUAUUUAUGUAUGUCAUGUGAUCCGGGCAUCAAAUGUUGUGAUUAAGAUAUUUGUUAUGAGAUUUCUGAGUCUGAGGAUAAUUUACUUUUCUGUUUCUUCCUGAAACAUGAUUUGUAG